rnacentral:rRNA from 1 species
AAAAAGGUCUCCGUUGGUGACCAGCGGAGGGACAUUACCGAGUUUACAACUCCCAAACCCAAUGUGAACGUUACCAAACUGUUGCCUCGGCGGGGUCACGCCCCGGGUGCGUAAAAGCCCCGGAACCAGGCGCCCGCCGGAGGAACCAACCAAACUCUUUCUGUAGUCCCCUCGCGGACGUAUUUCUUACAGCUCUGAGCAAAAAUUCAAAAUGAAUCAAAACUUUCAACAACGGAUCUCUUGGUUCUGGCAUCGAUGAAGAACGCAGCGAAAUGCGAUAAGUAAUGUGAAUUGCAGAAUUCAGUGAAUCAUCGAAUCUUUGAACGCACAUUGCGCCCGCCAGUAUUCUGGCGGGCAUGCCUGUCCGAGCGUCAUUUCAACCCUCGAACCCCUCCGGGGGAUCGGCGUUGGGGAUCGGGACCCCUCACCGGGUGCCGGCCCUGAAAUACAGUGGCGGUCUCGCCGCAGCCUCUCCUGCGCAGUAGUUUGCACAACUCGCACCGGGAGCGCGGCGCGUCCACGUCCGUAAAACACCCAACUUCUGAAAUGUUGACCUCGGAUCAGGUAGGAAUACCCGCUGAACUUAAGCAUAUCAAUAAGCGGAGGA